UCUUCCCGCGUGGAGAGGCCUGGCUGAGACAGAGGGAGGGUUGCCUGUGGUGGGAGCACACUUGAUUGGCCCUGUGUCACCAGGGUCACACUACACCCACUCCUCCUCAAGCAGGACUCCUCUCCUGUAGAUGUGACUGUCAGAGAUGUGGUCAGGCAAACAAGUCCGGCCUCCUAUUGUCCACCUACAUCAGAAGCUGCACCACCUGUUGCUUCGGUCAUCACAUCAGUCUCACGGCCACCGGCCAGGGGACCAGCAUGUUAUCAUUACAAUCAAUACUGACAGGAUUCAUUACCAGGGAUUGUCUUACAGUAAUCUCCCACUUCAAGUGUUGUCAGUCUUCAUUAACAUGUCUGCUUAUUAGGAUAAUAUAUUCAGUGUUCAUGCUUCGCUGGUCAUAGGAAACAAGAACCAAUUACCGUGUCACGUGGGAUGAUAAUUUCAGAAGUCACCCUUCGACACAGAUGACAGACGCCGCUGGAUUCAGCUACAAAGGUGACUUCAUCAAACGGAGGCGGUCCCAUUGACAUCAACUUGGCAACAAUAUGAAGACAACAGUCCGAGGAGUCCCUGAAGAGUGUCUACAUGCAAUGCUGGAGCCACAGAGACAGAGAUGGAUCUUAAGCAUAGAGGGGGAGCCAAGCCAUAGACGUAGCUCCCAGGCAAACAGAGGAAUCGGAGGGGCCAGAUCCUUGAACAUCCAUCACUAACUACAUCCUGUUUGGAUGCAGUAGAACAAGGUAAAUGCAGCAUAUCCACCGAUCCUCAACAACCAGCUUAGCCGUGACUGGAGUGUCUUUCAGACUUCAUUUAUCUCACCAGCUGUUUCAAAGUGUAUCAUGAGCAAAAGCUUAGAUCUGCCAUAUUGAUAUCUCCAACCAUGCUAGCUGAUGAAAGCACAGAAAAAAGACAGACUCAUAAUGAUUAUGAUAUGACUUGAAUCGAGCUCACUGAUUUAUAUUUAAAAAGGGUUAUAAAAAAUGUAACACUUGAUUUAGUGCUGGUCCGUAGGUGUUAUUUUUUCCCAAGAUCAACAAUUAUAACUUUCUGAAAGCACGACCAGGGGAAGGAGGCCACUUACAGGAAUGUAUUCACAACAGUAUCUCAUUCAAUGACAGUAUAAACCUCUCGUCAUUAACAGAUCAAGCAUUGUAUAAAUACUUGGCACCAUGCCAAGGUCUAUACAAUACUACCAAAUAAGGCUGUUGAAAACAGGUCACAUGACCAGCUGGCAGUGAUCAAUCUCCCGUGUCACAUCUUACUCGUACACGCUUACCGCAGGUGCCCUCCACCCCGUGAUCUCUUCAUGUGACCCAGUGCCUUCCCUCGUAACUCAUGUUUAUUUAGAAUGAUUCAAAUUGUCAAAAACAGCCAUAAAGCUCCAGGCGGAAUACUUACUUGCAUAGAUCGGAGAGAUACUUAAACAGUUGAGAAGGCUUUGAGUUAAGCUUGGCAUGAUUACAGACGAUUGGUUGACUUUCACACCCAGGAAUUCCUCACACAGCAAUAAUACACACCAGUCACAACUGGCAUUUCACAAACAACCAACAAUACAACUCACAGAGAGUUCAAGCCAAAUCAAAAAGAUCAAAGAACACCUUUCAGUGCAUUUUCAAAUCCCAUAAAUUAAUAGGAGUGAGUGAGUGAGUGAGUGAGUUGAGUUGAGUUUUACACUGUUUUUAGCAAUAUUCCUGCAAUUUCACAACAGAGAUUGGCAUCAGACAUUGAACCCAUGUGGGUAAUCAAACCCUGGCCUUUCGUGUGACAAGCAAAAGCUUUAACCACUAGGCUUAACCCACCACCCCCAUAAAACCAUGAUAGCAUUAAACCUGGAUUCUCUCAAUGACAUGACCCGUUAAGCCAGGAUUCUCUCAAUGACAUGACCCGUUAAACCAGACUUCUUGAACAAUUUGGAGGACAAGGCAAGCAGAGUUGCCUCCCUUACAGGCAGUGGUUGAAGCACUGCCCCAGUGUAUUUACAAGUCACAGCCAUUCACAAUAUCAAGGACAGAUCACACGGGUGUGUGGUACAGUUAGAAAAUAUAAAACACUGGCCAGUACUUCCUUGAUCAGGAAGCCGGUGAUGUUGUGUUGACGGAGAACAUGCUACUUGUCACGAGGUUGGUUAAUUGGAGUCACACCCAACAAAACCACAGUGACGUAGUUUAACUUCCAAACCAACCAAGGCCAGACGCCAUGAGGAACCAAACCACACACAUGCAAGUGGUUCCCUACAUUGUGUAUAAAUCAGGGGAUGAGAUGUCAUAUUUUGUGGGUUGUGUUUUUUCCAAUUAUAUUGCCUUUUGAGCCACAUUGAGCACACUGAUUGAUAUGCUGUAAGGGCUCCUUAUCAAGCUUAUGCAUGCGAUUACAUUGCUAAAUCAAGUUUCACAUACAGUUCCAAAUCUGCAAUGCAACAUUUGGUAAUGUGACAAACGUGACAAACACAACAAAUCACAACAACAAAACAUCUCAUAAAAUGAAGGAUUCUUGGAUCAUUACACCAGCACAUGAACAUAAUGAAGGCAAUUUCUGGUUGAAAGAUGACAAUGACCCUCGGUCCUGACACACAUGAAACUGAAUCCUGACCAGGUAACUUUUAGUCUGAAAACCAGCAGUUUAUUUUUUAGUCAAACCAUCAGUUAUACAUGUUUCACAGAACAAACAGGUCAUUUUCCUGUCGAAAACGGCAUGUGAAACUCUCCACCAGUCUCUCAGUUUCAGUAUGAGUCAGAGCUGAACACUCACAGGACAUUACACAAUACGUCACCAUUUGUUUUCCAAACCCUUAUAGUAUCUUUUUUAAAAAUUAUUUUUAUUCACAUGUUACUCAAACACAGUAUACAAGUGCACAUGGUCAGCGACAACUGGUGUUCCAAAUGAUACAUAAAACAAGGAAUAAAUGUGCAGGUCAGUUAAUAACCUGUCAAGAUAGUGAUAUUGUUUCUUUGUAUAUUCUUUGCAUAUUUAUAUACUAUCAGUAAUAUAGUUUUCUACCAACAACUUAAUACAUGUAGUUGCAUAAUGAGACAUAUAUAAAAUAUUUUACAUGAAGGUUCAGCAAUUCAAAUACAGGAUCAGUAUUAUCUUUUGAAUCAUACAAUAAUGAAUUGAUUGAAAGAGGUAGUGUUGCAUACUCAUUAAGGAAUAUUUCAUAAUUCUCCAUCAUCAAUAUGUCACCAUGAAUCACUGACAGACAAGUGAUGUUCUUCUAACAUCAUCCUUAUUUCCAUACUGAUCACUAGUUGCAGAUCCUGUUGCCAUGGUAUCGGUGUCAGGUAGAUAAUAUCUGUUAUCAUAGAAGUGAUCAGGACAGAAGAAAUGGAAUAUCACUGUAGUGCCAUCACAAAUCUAUUUGUGUUAGUUAGUUAUGGUCAGUUUGGUCUUGUUUUCACAUAGUGAGGAUCUUCUAUUGCAUGAUGUUACUUUCUAUUCAGCAAAUACUUCUAAUGAACACCUUUUCAUGGUACUGUGUUUAGGUAUGUAACGCUUGCCCUGGUAUGACAACAGUGUUCAAAUAAGCAGUAUAUGUCCUGCAAAGACAACAGUGUUCAGGUAAGUAGCAUAUUUUCCUAUAAUAACAACAGCACUUAGGUAAGUAGCAUAUUUUCCUAUAAUGACAACAGCACUUAGGUAAGUAGCAUAUUUUCCUAUAAUGACAACAGUACUUAGGUAAGUAGCAUAUUGUCCUGAAGUGACAAAAGUGUUCAGGUAAAUAGUAUACAUCCUGUAACAAUGAAUGGUACUCACGCUGCAAGUUCUGUAUGGCCAUCUGUAUCCCCUUUCCUGGCAUGCCACGCCCAUCCAAAGGAAGACUGGACCCCAGGCGGCCUGGGGCAGGGGACUGGCCCCGGGGUGACAUCCCGGGGCUGGGACUGCCACUGCGGGGGCUGAAGUUGCCAGUGAGGGAAGAGUAGGAGCUGGCAGGGCUCAUGCCACGCCCCUUUUUGUCCGCCAUCUUGUUGUUGUCAGUGAGAGUUGUGGAGAUAUGUACACAUGGUCGUCCUGUCUUGUGCUACUCUACGUGGCUGAAACAAACAGACUCACGUCACAACCAGAUGCCAGGAUUCACAUGCUUUUCAGGGAGAGUGAGUGAGUGAGUGAGUGACAUUGGUUUUACGCCGCUUUUAGCAAUAUUCCAGCAAUAUCACGACGGGGGACACACAUUGUACCCAUGUCGGGAAUCGACCCUGGGUCUUCGGCUUGACGAGCAAACGCUUUAACCACUAGGCUACCCGACCGCCCCUUUUGCAGGGAGAAGGAAAUACAAAACCAGUCAUGGUUAACUGACAUACAACAUUCUACCCUGGCGUUGCCAGUCGGGUACGUCUUGUACUCCCCUCCCCUGCAGCUGCGUUGUUAUGAUGUACAACAACACGAAAGAGCAAAUUGAUUGACAACAGCUAGUUUGAAUACCAUUAUUUUAUAAAUAUUCAAUGCACUAACACUUGCUAAACUAGAACUAACUUCCUGAAACUGACAACUGUAUGCAAUAGUGAGCAUGUUCUGUACCGUGACAGGCACACCAUGCCCUCCAUACAUUGUCAGAUCACAACUUGGAAGUGGCAAGUUUGCGUUACCUCAGCUAUAUAUUUACAUCUUAUUCAUGUUGAUUAACCUGCCAUAAAUAAUAAAACAAUGGCCAUGAUUGGAUAAUGUUUUGUUUUAUUGUAUACAUGGUAUGUCAUAACACCAGGUGUCUAUGUUCUAUCACUCUGGAUCCAGUAUUUCCAAGUCACACUAACUAUUGACAUCAGAGAAAGAUGACAAGGAAGUCGAAGAGUGCAACAAAGUCACGCAUGGAAGUAAAAGCCAUGCAAGGAGACUGACAAUCAAGGUGGGAAUGAGAGACAACAUUUAUUUCAGCCACAUGACUACCUAUAUCCACGUACAAUACAGACAUGCUAUUUGUGGUGCAACGUACACAGCACUUCCUGACUGGACAACAGAGCAUUGUGUAACCUGUCUCUCGUCCCUUGAUCAUGCUGGCAACAACGACAGCUAACACAAAGUGGUUAGUUCCAAAGCUGCUGAGAAUAGUAUCCAACACUGCUACCCAUCAAGGUUGUUUUACUUACAUAUAUAUAUGUAUAGUGUUGGGUCUGGCUGGCUAAAAAGUCGAUAAUCGAAAUUAUCAUCAAUGGGAAGAAAUAUCAACGAUUAUCGUAUGAAACUGCUGUCAUCGAUAAUAACUCAUAUAAACUACUGCGAUGAAAAAUAAAGUUUAGAUUUACCAAAA